rnacentral:sRNA from 1 species
GUUAGUCCCUGGGAUCUCAAGGCCUUGGGACUUCAAGGGGGAGGAGAGACUCCAGCGCUCCUAGGCACCCCCUCAGGCAGAUGGACAGUCAGGCCUGAAGGACAGGGGCCCUUCCUGAGUUCUGGCUGAUGGGAACCUGCCCAGUGGAGAGGCCAUGGUGAGGCAGUUUCUGCAGGGCCAGAACUUCUUUCUGCAGGAGUUUGGGAAGAUGUGCUCCGAGUUCUGGCUGCCAGACACCUUUGGCUACUCAGCACAGCUCCCCCAGAUCAUGCACGGCUGUGGCAUCAGGCGCUUUCUCAGCCAGAAAUUGAGCUGGAAUUUGGUGAACUCUUUCCCACACCAUACAUUUUUCUGGGAGGGGCUGGAUGGCUCCCGUGUACUGGUCCACUUCCCACCUGGCGACUCCUAUGGGAUGCAGGGCAGCGUGGAGGAGGUGCUGAAGACCGUGGCCAACAACCGGGACAAGGGGCGGGCCAACCACAGUGCCUUCCUCUUUGGCUUUGGGGAUGGGGGUGGUGGCCCCACCCA